AAAGGAAAAAGAGGAGGAAAGAAGCAAGGGACUGAGCGACGAAGCGAGGUUUGGAGCCCUUCAAUUACAAAGUGGAAGAUGCCUCUCACAAUGGGCAGGAUUACUGCAUUUAUUAUAUUUGACUCUUCUAUUUUAGAAUAUAGGGAGUUGGGGCAGGUUGAAGGGGAGGGGAAGUCAAUUUAAACAUAGUGCCACCAUAACCCUAAGAAAACGAGAUUGGGUUUGUGUGUGUAGACUAUCCUUGGAAGUGUCUAUUCUACCAAACCACGGGACGCAGCCGUAGAUCGAGCCCUGGAAGUCCUCUCCUUACAGUCAAGUGGCU
rnacentral:lncRNA from 1 species